AGAACGAACGCUGGCGGCAGGCUUAACACAUGCAAGUCGAACGCGUGUAGCAAUACACGAGUGGCGCACGGGUGAGUAACGCGUGGAUAUCUGCCUUUUGGUUCGGAAUAACCCCGGGAAACUGGGGCUAAUACCGGAUGGUUCCUACGGGAUAAAGAUUUAUCGCCAAAAGAUGAGUCCGCGUACGAUUAGCUAGUUGGUGAGGUAAUGGCUCACCAAGGCGACGAUCGUUAGCUGGUCUGAGAGGACGAUCAGCCACACUGGGACUGAGACACGGCCCAGACUCCUACGGGAGGCAGCAGUGGGGAAUAUUGGACAAUGGGGGCAACCCUGAUCCAGCCAUGCCGCGUGAGUGAUGAAGGCCUUCGGGUUGUAAAGCUCUUUUGGCGGGACGAUGAUGACGGUACCCGCAGAAUAACGCCCCGGCUAACUUCGCGCCAGCAGCCGC
rnacentral:rRNA from 1 species